rnacentral:lncRNA from 1 species
UCUCUGAGCAUUAUCUUCUAGUCUCAGCAGAAAAGCAGUGGUGUAAUUAACAGCUUCAUUAAUGCCAGAGUAAUUAUGAACUACAGGAAUGGCUGUUGCAUCAGGAAUUCUUCUUGUAGAACUGCAGCAACUUUUUGAUUCUUCACAACUCAGGAGAAACAUAAAGGUAUAUUCACCACUGGUGAUGCUGAAUGGUUCAGCACAGCUUCCACACAGCGUGCCUUGGUUCCCCUGCGCAGCACCACAAACAGCUUCACGAGCACGGAGCAGGGACCACUCCUGUGCCCAGGGCUGGGGAGAGCUGGGGCUGCUGCCAAGGAAAAGUCUUUGCAACUGCUGCCAGCUAAUCAGGUAAAUGCUUCCAGCCUGCCCAGGCCAAGCCGUGUCCUUUGCUAUUCUCCAAAUAUUUAUGUCUUUGUGAAACACAUAAACAUUUCAUCAGAGGUCUCUUAUUCCCGGCAUUUCAUGUGAAGUUUUUGUUUCCAUGCUCCUAAACCCUCUCCAAUCUGACUAAUUCACACUAGGGAAGUUCUUGACUUGCCUUACAAGAGUCACAGAGCCCCAGAACCCAAUCCAGAGAUCCAAAUCCCCAGAAUCCAAAUCUCCAGAUCCACAUCCACACAGGGAAAGGAUGGGAAAUGGUGACAAACUUCUGCACUGCUGUAUGUUCCCUACCUGCAGCUGAAGAUUCUUACUCCUCUUUUUCCUUCUUUUUUCCUCCGCCCUCCAUCGAAAAGUGUUUGCCUCUGAAC